rnacentral:rRNA from 1 species
GGCUCAGGAUGAACGUGGCGGCGUGCUAAUACAUGCAAGUCGAACGAAGACUGUAGUAAUACUGUCUUAGUGGCGAACGGGUGAGUAACGCGUGGGUGACCUGCCCCGAAGUGUGGGAUAACAGUUCGAAAGAACUGCUAAUACCGCAUAAUAUCCAAGAGAUUAGACGCUUUUGGAUUAAAGGAGUAAUUCGCUUCGGGAGGGGCCCGCGUCCCAUCAGCUAGUUGGUAAGGUAAUGGCUUACCAAGGCGAUGACGGGUAGGGGACCUGAGAGGGUGGCCCCCCACAAUGGAACUGAAACACGGUCCAUACACCUACGGGUGGCAGCAGUAGGGAAUAUUAGUAAUGGGCGAAAGCCUGAACUAGCAACGCCGCGUGUGCGAAGAAGGCCUUCGGGUUGUAAAGCACUUUUUGAGAGGAUGAGGAAGGACGGUACUCUCAGAAUAAGUCUCGGCUAACUACGUGCCAGCAGCCGCGGUAACACGUAGGAGGCAAACGUUAUCCGGAUUUACUGGGCGUAAAGCGCGUGUAGGUGGUUUGGUAAGUAGGGCGUGAAAGCUCCUGGCUCAACUGGGAGAGGACGUCCUAAACUGCCAAGCUUGAGGAUGGUAGAGGGAGGUGGAAUUCCGGGUGUAGCGGUGGAAUGCGCAGAUAUCCGGAGGAACACCAGUGGCGAAGGCGGCCUCCUGGACCACUCCUGACACUCAGACGCGAAAGCUAGGGUAGCAAACGGGAUUAGAGACCCCGGUAGUCCUAGCCCUAAACGAUGUAGACUUGGCGUCGGUGGUUUAAUCGCCAUCGGUGUCGUAGCUAACGCGUUAAGUCUACCGCCUGGGGACUAUCGGCCGCAAGGUUAAAACUCAAAGGAAUGACGGAAGGGCG